rnacentral:rRNA from 1 species
AGAUUAGCUUGCUUUAGCUGUCAGCUAAGUGGCGCACGGGUGAGUAAUGUAUAGAUAACCUGCCCUUAAGAAAGGAAUAACAGUUGGAAACGACUGCUAAUGCCCUAUAUGCCUUUAAUACAUAAGUAUGCAAGGGAAACGCUUUAGUGCUUAAGGAUGGGUCUGUAUGGUAUCAGCUUGUUGGUGAGGUAAUGGCUCACCAAGGCUAUGACGCCUAACUGGUUUGAGAGGAUGAUCAGUCACACUGGAACUGAGACACGGUCCAGACUCCUACGGGAGGCAGCAGUGGGGAAUAUUGCACAAUGGACGAAAGUCUGAUGCAGCAACGCCGCGUGGAGGAUGACACAUUUCGGUGCGUAAACUCCUUUUAUAUAGGAAGAUAAUGACGGUACUAUAUGAAUAAGCACCGGCUAACUCCGUGCCAGCAGCCGCGGUAAUACGGAGGGUGCAAGCGUUACUCGGAAUCACUGGGCGUAAAGAGCGUGUAGGCGGGUAUAUAAGUCAGAAGUGAAAUCCUAUAGCUUAACUAUAGAACUGCUUUUGAAACUGUAUACCUAGAAUGUGGGAGAGGUAGAUGGAAUUUCUGG